UACGAAGGGGGCGAGCGUUGUUCGGAAUUACUGGGCGUAAAGGGCGCGUAGGCGGCCGAUCAAGUCAGAUGUGAAAGUCCUGGGCUUAACCUGGGGACUGCAUUUGAUACUGAUUGGCUUGAAUGCAGGAGAGGAUAGCGGAAUUCCCAGUGUAGAGGUGAAAUUCGUAGAUAUUGGGAAGAACACCGGUGGCGAAGGCGGCUAUCUGGACUGUGAUUGACGCUGAGGCGCGAAAGUGUGGGGGAUCAAAACAGG
rnacentral:rRNA from 1 species